GGAGUAGUACUCAAGUUGGCUGAAGAGGUGCCCCUGCUAAGGGUAUAGGGCGUUUACGCGUCGCGAGGGUUCGAAUCCCUCCUACUCCGCCA
rnacentral:tRNA from 1 species